GCAGGAACGUGAAGGAAGGACUGUGAGAGCGGAGGCCAGGCCGGUGCUGAAGGACAAGGCCUGGCGGCGUGGGGAGAGGACAAGCUUCUGCACUCUUCUGACCCCUAUCACGCCGAGAAUGAGAACGUCACUUCCAUCACAGGAAGUCUGCACGUGGGCCUUGGUGACGGAUGAUUCGGAAGAUUCGUCUACGGCUGCGGAGAACAGGCCGCUCAGGCCAGGGGUGCCGUGAGGAGGCUGAGGUCCCAGUCCCUGAGCCUCUGGCCAGGUCUCCAGUGGCAGGUGCCAAGAGCCAAGCCUUGCAGGUUGACAAUUUGGGCUCUGCGUUACGCUCACGGAUCCUGGCCAUGCCAGCCCCAACGGAUGUCCCCAGAGUGAGGGUGCGGCGAAGAGAGGCUGGCACUGCUAGAAAAAGCCAGUCUCCGGCCCCUGCUCCAGCUGGGUGACAGCAGAGACAAACAGGACCCCGGAGUGGCUCAGGCUGAGCCAAGACCCUCCGGGGCCCCCACGGGCCCUGCCUUUUCUCUCUGUGAUGAUGAAAUGGCGCUGGUGAGGGAGGGGGAGGGGAAGCUGGCUGGCAGGUGCUGAUGGCUCACCUGCUGGGUACCAAGCCAGGCCCCGCCACACUGCCCAGGCACACGGUGACGGGGGCAGACGCCUCUGAGGACUGUUACCAUGUCAUCCGCAGGCAGGGCAGUGAGGACCCUUGCCAGGAACUCCCGGACCCCUCACGGCCUGCUGUGGAGACACCAGCUUCAGGGGUGAUGACUCAGGGGAAUUCAAGGCUGCCGCAGACACCAGCCAGGCGGCCAGGCCUCCCUUGGCUGCCCCUCAUCCGAGGAGCGAGGAGCGGCUGGCAUCCCCGCACUGCCUGCCUCCUCCUCCACGUGGGCCCAGCCCUGAGCCCACUCCGCCUUUGUCACUACGCUGUUGUGUGACCACCAGAAAAGCACUGCCUCGGUUUCCCUGGUUAGAGCAUGGCGACAGUCUCGCCGGACUCCCAGAGGGGGAUAGGGACAAAAAGAGGUCCUCGGUGGGGAUGCCCACGGCCGUCCACGCAGGGGAAAGCCAACACCCCCCUCCCAGCCCCACCCCCAACGUCCUGGCUCCGCCCCUUCCAGGCACUGAGGCCCAAAUGCUAUUACUCCUAGCCAGGAUCUGAUAGGCGAGAGUGGGAGAAGUCGGCACAGGGGACCCGCUGGCUCGGGGCACUUGCAGUGCUGUCAGCUGGACCUUCGCCCUCGCCCCUGUGGCAGCGGGCGGUGGCUCUGGGAGCCCGGCUGUGCCUGGUCCUCGAUGGGCCGCUCCCCGUCUCUUGCGCUAGACUCUUAGGUGCACCCCUCUCCCAGCCAGGGCCAACCUAGGUCAGGGCCUCCUCCCCACUCCUGCG
rnacentral:lncRNA from 1 species